rnacentral:tRNA from 1 species
UCCACUGCUCAAUUGGUAAAGUACAAAGCUCAUAACCUUGUGGAUGUGGGUUCAAGCCCCACGAUGGAG